GAGAGAAAGAAAUUGAUUGAGAUUGCCAUUACUGUCAAAGAUAAUUUUUCUUUAUCACCACUAAGAAAAAAUAGCUUUGAAGUCUCUUUCUUUAAACCAUUAUUAAAAUGAUGACAAAAAUAAAGGACAACUGUUAGUUUUAAUACAUGAAUAACAAACUACAAAGAAAUUAAGUUAUUUCUGAAUGAAUGCUUUUAAAUAUUGAAAAGAAUGAAAAACAUCACGUUUAAAGAAAAAAACUAGCCCAGAAUUGCGUAGAAUCAGGAAAAACAGGUGCUCUCAUUCACUGUUUGUUGAGAGUGUAAACUCUGGAUAUGAUUAUAUAAAAAUAUAAAAGCUCUAAAUAAAUUUGCUUUGUGGAAUUCCUGGGACUUCUACUAAUUUAUAACAAAUGAAAUUAGUCCAUGAAAAAAUGAUUUAGCUACAUAAAUGAUCACUGCAGCCUUGUUUAUAAUGAGGAAAAUUAGAAAUAAUUUUAUCACUUUUCCUCAUCAAACGACAGUGCCUCUAAUCCCUUACUCAUGGGAACAUUUGCCAUGUCCUAGGCCCACUUCUGUUUAUCAUUUCCUUGACACGUUUUAACUUUUGUGCACAAGUUCUUAUUUAUUUUAAAAGAAUAUUUUCUACCCAUGGUAUUUAUUAACAGUUAGCAUUGCUUGUGAUUUCUUUAACAAAGUAGUAAACAGGAAUAAAUACAAUGAAAAAUAAAACUACAUUAUUAAAAUUUUAGAUAGUACUGCUGAAGGUUAUGAAAGAAACAGGUAAGUACGAGAAGGGUGUAAAGGGUAUAUGGGCACUGAACAGACUUUUGCUUUGUCAUUAGCAGAUGAACUUCAAAAAAGCAUCUAGAAAGGUAGUAACUUCCUUACAAUACUAUCCAGUAUUACUUAAUUGGAGUAAUCACUUAAUACUGGGUCAGGGUAUCACCUAAAAUAUCUGUCACCACCUAAUAUCAGAAGUAGGUAUUACAUACUUUGGGUAACACUGGAUUAACUCAAUUAAAAUAAUAUUAAUGCAAAGUAUUAUUAAUAAUAAAUAUAUGUAUGAUGUAGCAGUUAUAAAAUAAUAUUGUAAAGUAUUUUUCUUAAUAAAAGGAAAAUUAUGUGCUUCUCUGUUAACAAAGACAAGGCAGGAUUCGGAAUCACAGACUCCGUCAAUUCAUUCUAACCAGCUUGAAUUUUAAUAACAUAACAUACAUAGGCACAGGUAAAUUCUGGAAGAAUAUAACCAUAAUAACUUUGGUAUUUGAGAUUACAGGUCCUUUGUUUUAUGCUCAUUUGAAAUUUCUUUCUUUAUGUAAUACGUUUUCUAAAUUUUAUAUGAAACUAUUAACCAUGAAUUCCUAAAUUUAGUUUGAGCUCUUGAUCAUUCUUGAGCAGAAAAAUGAAAGCAUGAGAACAGGUGUAAGCCCUUUGUACCUUAAAAAAGAGGAAAUCUGCUACCAGUAAAUGAAUUAUAUAACUACUAAUUAGACCAAUUAUAAAGUAGCCAUUAAAUUUCUUAUAAAGCAUUAAAGCCAUCUAAUAAUGAUGUUGAUUUCUUUAACUAUCAAAAUAUGUGGCAAACACCAGAACCUACAGAAUAACACACAGCAUAUUUUAUACUCAUGUUGUCUGCUGUAGAAGAAGAAAAGUAUAUAGUGUUAACAAGAAAGUCUACUUCAUAAAUCAGAACUCUCUAAUUACUGACCUUGGAGAAUAUAAAAAUACAUUACAUUAAAAAUUUUUUCCCAGCCAUUUAGCAACUUGCUAGUUAUCCUACCUCAUGUCUGCUUAAGAAACAGAUGCAACACCAGUUGCCUCUAUUUGUACAUUAUUAAGCAGCUGGAAUGCAUUUAAACCACUUUGAGGAUAGCAGAUUCGUUCUUAAAAAUAAACCAAUUCAAACACCACUACAUAUUAUCUGUAAAUAGAAUUGAAAGCCUAGGCACAUAUUUUUUAAAAGACCCCUAAGAGAGAAUGCAAAACCAACAAAAAUAUUAAUAAUGGCAUUCUUGAUAUUUAAGCUCAAUUUCAAAAGCUUCUUAAAAGCCUAUGUUAUCUGUGUUAAAAAAUAUAUUCAGACAGAGUAUAUCAGGACAAAAAUGAAUAUUCUGUUCAAAAUCUCAACUCUCUUAAGUUAAAUACAUAAUUUAUAUUUAAUAUUUACUUAUAUGUACAAACACAUAACAAAGGAGAAAACUAAAACUGCAUUAAAAAAGUUUAAUUAAAAAAAUACUGUCUGAGACAAAAGAAUCCAUUACUAAAUAAACCCAAGUGAAACAGUUCAUCAUAGAUACGGAAUAAAAAGUAGAAUGGUUCUAUUAGUGUUCAGAAUGAAUUAUUUGUAAGGGCAUAAAAUGAUCAAGACAUUGUUUUAGACCAGUUACUGAUUAUAUGAAGUAAAUUUUUUUUUCAGAACAAUUAACCAGAAGGUAAAGUCCACAAGGAUAAGAAGUUUUGUUCACUGCAAUAUUUUCAAGGGCUAGAACAGUAUUUGACAAAUACAUGUUGAGUGAAAAAUGAAUAAUUUAUCUUUUAAAGUCAUCACUAAGUAAUCGUUUUAAAGUACUGUUCCAUAGAAUUUGAGAAUUAAGAUGAUACAGGCAUAUCUAACUCUACUAUACAAAAAAGUCCCACGGUCUCAGAAUUAAAAUUAUCAAUUACAUGAAUUAAAACAUAAAAUAAUCUCUCUCACCAUAAUCUUUCUUUCAGUACCCCCUAACCCCCCAAAAUAAGACAAUUAAAUUCUCAAAAAUAAUGCCCACAAUAUCUUUAUAGUAAGAAUUCUGUUUUAUAAAGGAGAGGAUGUGAGAUUUUAUCAUAAAUCUAAUUUCUUAUAGCGAUCUAAACUAUUUUUAUUAUAAAUCUAAAAAGGACAAGCUAACAGAAAAGCGAGUAUCAGAAAUGCUACUCAAUCAACUAAUCACUUGAUACUGAAAUGAUACACUUUAAAUUAUUGGGAAAACAUGAAGUCCAAAACAUGCUGAAAAUUCAUACUAUAGCCAUCUGUGUUUGUCAUUUGAAAGCCAAUUAUAAAAAUGUUAACAUAUGCAGGCAGCACAGAAAUAGUUGAGAUUUACUAGAAAGAUAUGUCCACAUACACUUGUGCUUGAAAACUGAUUCAGAGCUCAAGAAAGUAUCUUACCCUGACUAGAACGUGAAUAAACUAAAUAAAAAUGACUGAUAAUUUAUUAAACUCAAUAUUUGAAACUUUACAGAUGAUCAUCCUCAAUGAAACAAGGACUUCUUAAAAUGCUGUAUAGAACAUGCCAAGUUCUUAUGUCACUUCAAAAAAAACUGCUAAUUGAAAUACGUUGUUUCUUACUUGAGUGUUUACUACGUGCCAGGCACUGUGCUAGACAUGAGCUAAAAUACGUGGUCCUAAUAGUAGGAUGUUUUAGUCUAGGCUAGCCUAUUACUUCACUGAAUUGUGUGAAACAAAUAAGAUAAAAGUUAGUGUACAAUUUCAUAAACUCAACAGUCCUCAAUACAUCUCUAAGAAGGUGGUAUGGGAUUCUCUCGUCCUAGUACUCUCAAAAUAGGCUUUCUGUAAGUGGCGUGGUUGUAGAGUUUUAUAUCUGUGAAGGAGAUAACUUGGCAUAUGAUAGGUAGUAAGUAAUUCAAUUAUUUAGCAAAUAUUUAUUGACAGUUACCUAUCAUGUGUCCAGCCAGUGCUAAGGGCAGGGCAGGUAGUGAUGAAUCAUAUACAAACUCUACUCCUAUGAACUGUCAUUCAAAUAGGAAGAGCAAAUUAAACAAAUACAGAUAAAUACAGAAAUAUAUCAUUUUAGGAGAUAAAAUGUGCUCCGAAGAAAAGAGUAUAGGUGGUAAAGAAAGCAUUCAACAGAGAGACUUAAUUUGGAUGGGAAUGUGGGGAGAGGUCAGGAAGUAUUGAGAAAAUAAUAAGUGGCAAAAUAGAACAAGAACAUCUGACUCCAAAUCCAGUAUUCUUUCCAUUAUACCAAUUUGCAUGUCAUGCAUUCUGAGCUCUCUUUUUGUUCAUUUGUCAUUAUUCUUCAAAUCCUAGAACACUAAGUUUAAAGGCACAAACAAAUGAAAUCACUAAGCAAAUACUUUUUUGACAAGACUGAGGGAAAACACACAUAUAAAAACACACAUAACACACACCACACACCUCCAAAAGAAAAUAUUAUAAGGUAUUUUGAAAAUAUUGUCUAUUCUCUCCAGUUUUCAAAAUUGCUAAAAGUAGAGCUACUUUCCAUGUUUUUGCUACAGAAAAUUUAAGAUCCUAAUUAAUUCUGAUUAUGGUGAUUAUUUGUACUUGUCAGUGCUGUCUUUAAACCUUUUUAAUAUUCCUCAAUGAAUGUUGCACAAGAAUGCUCUACAAACUAUUACAGCAAAGCUCCAGGGGCCCAACUAUGGAAACAAAAAGAUUACAACAGUUGACCCAAACAUAAUUUGUAUUUUAUGUAGAGUGAAGUAGGGCAACUGAAAGCAAAGACAAAAGCAACUUUUUGUGCUGUGAAGCAUAUUUUCCAACAAUUCUCAGAGAUAGAAACUGUUGGACAAUAACAGUGCCAAACAGACCAGGAAAAUCAGAUAUGGCUUUACAUUACUGAGCCACUUACCCUAUUUAUAUCCUAUAAUCUCAUUGAAUGCAGAUUUUUUUCCUCAAAAGUUUUGGAAAAUUAUGCCUAAGAAGAAAGCAGAUUCUACAGACUCAGAAAUCACCUUAAUUUUACAUAUUUUAACAUGUUUCAUUGUCUGGCACAUAGCAGGCACAAAUAUUUGUUGAAUGAAAAUGCUUCAGAAAGAAGAUGGAUUACACAUAAUAGAAUACCAGACUGCUGGGUCUACAGAGACUAAUAAGCUAGCUAUGUGACAAAGGACAGGCCACUUAACCUCUGCAGAACUGUUUCUUCAACUGUAAAAUGAAGAGGGAUUCAAGGAUCUUUCCUCAAAAAGAUUCAAGGAUCUUUUAAGAUUUUUUCCAAAUUUAAGGGCCUUUUUGGAGAAAUUUUUUCAACUGUCCCCUUUCUAUUCUCCUCUCCCUAUUUCACUUAGUUAUAAAAGAGAAAAACUAGAAUUCUACAUUUUAAAAAAAAGCUUGCUUGAAAAAACAAUUCAAUAAACAGUGUCUA